AUCCUGACAAUAAAAAUAUAAUAAACAACUAGGCUACUAGCAAUCUAAUAUUUCCCUGUUGUACCUACCUUUGGCACAACAAGAAGGCAGUUGUCAAAAAAAUAUUGCUGUCAUCUUGCUCUUCACCUUAUAUUUACUUUUACGGUUAUCCCACUUUUUUUUGGCCUGCACUGGGGACAGCCGUCCUGUUAACUCCAUUUGUUCAAUCAAAGUGCUACACACACACACACACACACACACACACACACACACACACACACACACACACACACACACACACACACACACACACACACACACACACACACACACACACAUAUUAUUGUCUCACUCAUUGUUAAAUUAAAAAAGUACUAUUUCAUUCAUCCAAGCGUAAUGAUUUGUUAUUCUUUAAUAUAUUUGAUACUUUGUGUAUGGCUUAGUCUUAAAAGCAUCAUGGUUGUGUGUUCAGCUCCUGCCUCAUCAGAAGAAGUUGCCUGGAAACUAAAGGCUAAAUGGACUGUUGCUACUCUGCUUUCUCAAUCGCUCUCUGACCACGGGAAAUUGCUGACAAGUUAAGAUGCCAGACUUUUGUGCAGCCUACGGAUGCGUUAAUCUGCGAACUCUCGAUACGGGAACCCAUGGGAUCACCUUUCACCUGUUUCCCAAAGCAAGAGCGAUGAGGAUAAAGUGGGAAAUUGCCCUAAGAAGGGACGGUUUUGCUGCCUCUGACAGGACACUGCUCUGCAGUGACCACUUCAGGAGUGAGGACUUUGACAGGAUGUGGGGGCAUUUACAGUUUUUACAGCAUCAUGCCUUCAGUGUGCAUAUUUUAUAUAGUUCUCUGCAAACCUAUGGUAGCAUCAUGCCUUCAGUGUGCAUAUUGUAAAUAGUUCUCUGCAAACCUAUGGUGGCAUCAUGCCUUCAGUGUGCAUAUUGUAUAUAGUUCUCUGCAAACCUAUGGUGGCAUCAUGCCUUCAGUGUGUCUUGAACAGCCACAAAGGUUGCACAUAUUAGAUUAAUUUUAUCGUAUUUGUCUAAAUGCAUACUUGACUGUAGACAGAUUUGAGUAAAGUUACCAACACAAUAGAUUGCUGAGUUUUAGUAGCCCAUAUAUCGAUUUGACAUAAAUAACAUGAAUACCUUGUGCAUGUGUAUAUUUAUUGCACCCAUCUGUUCUGUUUAAUGUUCAUUUCAUAUGAAAACACAUGGUUAUAAUUACAUAAAUACAUCUCUGUACAGGGUGGGGAUUUCAACAUGCAGCCUUUCUUGACGUAUAUUUGUAAAGGGAAAUCUUGUAUCUAUUUUAGAACAUUAUUCUAUUUUUCUUAGAAC
rnacentral:lncRNA from 1 species